GACGAACGCUGGCGGCGUGCCUAAUACAUGCAAGUCGAACGCAGUGGGGACGGGUGAGUAACACGUGGGUAACCUCCCAUCAGAGGGGAUAACACUUGGAAACAGGUGCUAAACCGAUACUGAUGGAUGGACCCGCGGUGCAUUAGCUAGUUGGGGAGGUAACGGCUCACCAAGGCCACGAUGCAUAGCGGACCGGAAGGGGGAGUCGGACACACUGGGAAUGAGCAACGGCCCAGUCUCCUACGGGAGGGAGCAGUAGGGAAUCUUCGGCAAGGGACGAAAGUCUGACCGAGCAACGCCGCUGGAGGAAAGAAGGUUUUCGGAUCGAAAAACCCGUUGGUUAGAGAAGCGGUAUCUAACCAGAAAGCCCCGGUAAACUACGUGCCAGCCGCCGCGGUAAUA
rnacentral:rRNA from 1 species